AGUGAACGCUGGCGGUAGGCCUAACACAUGCAAGUCGAACGGCAGCACAGUAAGAGCUUGCUCUUACGGGUGGCGAGUGGCGGACGAGUGAGGAAUACAUCGGAAUCUACUUUUUCGUGGGGGAUAACGUAGGGAAACUUCCGCUAAUACCGCAUACGACCUACGGGUGAAAGCAGGGGAUCUUCGGACCUUGCGCGAUUGAAUGAGCCGAUGUCGGAUUAGCUAGUUGGCGGGGUAAAGGCCCACCAAGGCGACGAUCCGUAGCUGGUCUGAGAGGAUGAUCAGACAGACUGGAACUGAGACACGGUCCAGACUCCUACGGUAGGCAGCAGUGGGGAAUAUUGGACAAUGGGCGCAAGCCUGAUCCAGCCAUACCGCGGGGGUGAAGAAGGCCUUCGGGUUGGAAAGCCCUGUUGUUGGGAAAGAAAAGCAGCAGGUUAAUACCCCGCUGUUCUGACGGUACCCAAAGAAUAAGCACCGGCUAACUUCGUG
rnacentral:rRNA from 1 species